GGAUGGGCGAGGCCACCCGCCGAGUUUAAG
rnacentral:rRNA from 4 species